rnacentral:lncRNA from 1 species
UGUAUUUUUAGUAGAGACGGGGUUUCACCGUGUUAGCCAGGAUCAACAUCUUGAUUAUGUGAUGGAUUCAUGGGUUUAUACAUACAUUGAAAACAAAUCAAAUUGUGCAGCUUAUUAUCUGUCAACUAUAUCUAUACAGAGCUGUUAAAAAUGUGUAUGUGAAAUCCUCAUUAUUUGCCAGGCAUAGUGCUAGAUGUUGGGAGAACUAAACAAUACACUGUUUCUGUUCUCACUCCUGAGAAUUUUUCAUUUCCUUUUUACUGGAAAUAAAAAUUCUAACCCAGAAUAUAAAUAAUGAACUCUAUAAUUUUUCUUGGCGUUCUCUUCUUUUAAAACAUUUCUUCAUUUAGUUCUUGAAAUGACAUUUUUCAUCCAUCUCAGUUUGCCUAGGGAUCUUAGUCAAACUAGUGGUUGAGCAAGAGAACAAAUCCAGACCAAAGGGUGGAAAGUUCACGUUGCCUUGUUGAUUCUUCCUCAUUCUGGAUGGCCCUGUUUCUCGUUCAUGCUCCUAGUUCAUGCAUUUUUCUCCUGUUUCUAGCAUGUUGGUGUUCCAGCUGACUCUCCCAUCUGGCUCAGUCCUCUGAGACCUUUUCCAGCCCUGUAUCACAGUGCCUGGCUCCAGCCUCCAUGGCCAGUAGACUCAGGAGAUAUUGCUGUUGAAAGGCCGCCUGCUCUGCCUGGGGGAUCAUACUCCUGUCAGCCGCCUGCCCUGCCCAGGGGAUCAUACUCCUGUCAGCCACCUGCCCUGCCUGGGGGAUCAUACUCCUGUCAUAGCAGUUGAAGUUGCCCCUCUUCUGCCAAAGUCUUUCCUGGUAUCCAGUUGCAAUGAGUCAUCCCUUUCUUCUGGGUGUCCACAGUUUGUUCUUCUGCUUCAGUUAUACCAUUCAGCUCAUUCUUGUUUUUCUUUUUAUUGGAAUUAUGUGUGGACUUCUAUCUUCCAAAAGCCUAGAAGCUGAGGGCUGGGUCUUUGUUCAUCUUUGUGUGCCCCAUUGCACAUGGAAUAAUACUUGGAAUACAAGGCCGGCAACACCAUACAAGCUCAGUGAAUAUAUUUAUGUCAUGCUUCAAUAAACUAAUGAUAUUUUAUAAUUUAUUUUUUGUCAUCUCUCUUAAUUUCUGUGGAUGGAAAGGUAAGAGAUAGAGUGGCAUAAUGAGCAUGCUAAGAGAAGAAUUUUACUUUUGUGUUGAGAGAGGUAUUUUUCUUACAUUUAUCUUUAGAGCCACAUGUUAAUGGGGGAAAAUGCACAAUUCUAUGUGUUUAUAUUAAACUUUUUUGAAAUGUGUUCUGGAUUUUCUUGACAUUUAAAUAAAGAUAUUAUACAUUGCA